rnacentral:lncRNA from 1 species
ACUAGGUCAACAGGAGAGAGUGUCUUUUUCCUCUGAAGCAGCCCACUUCCUCCUACCCCUGCUCACCUUGGUUUAAUCUCAAAGGACUCGUUAUCUUCACACAGACCAAUGGAAGGAAACGAACCUUUCUUUGGAAUGCUUGAAGAUGCCAGAAUUUGAAAUAUCUCACGGAGAUGAACUGAACAGCUGAACUUGUGAUAUUGCCAUUGUUAAUCUGGGGACCUAAAGUUGAGCUCAAGGAAAAAGUGAGCACACUACCAGGAAAAGGGCGGAAGAGUAAGUGUGUAUAACUAUUUUUACUAUAUCAUUUGUGUUUUUUUAUAUAUAUAGCAAUUGGAUC